UACGUAGGGGGCAAGCGUUGUCCGGAAUUACUGGGCGUAAAGGGCUCGUAGGCGGCCAACUAAGUCAGACGUGAAAUCCCUCGGCUUAACCGGGGAACUGCGUCUGAUACUGGAUGGCUUGAGGUUGGGAGAGGGAUGCGGAAUUCCAGGUGUAGCGGUGAAAUGCGUAGAUAUCUGGAGGAACACCGGUGGCGAAGGCGGGUCUCUGGGCCGUAACUGACGCUGAGGAGCGAAAGCGUGGGGAGCAAACAGG
rnacentral:rRNA from 1 species